GGUCUGCACUUUGUGCGUCUCCAUUUCUCUGUUGUGUUUUCUCGGGCAGAUCUUUUAACUGCUCGGUUCACUGUCUCUGCAAUUUCUGGUUCUAAUCAUCACUUGAAAAGUUUCCCGCUUCAGAAUUUCACUGAGACCCCAAGAGUUGAAGAGUUUCUCCUGAUGAUGGACUCGCUGGAGUUCGAAAUUCGAUUAGUGCCGGAUCAUUCCUCUUUGGCUUUCGUCAACGCCAUUGAAGUGUUCCCUGCUCCUAAUGACCUCGAAAUUCAGCCAGAUUUCGACAAGAAUCUGCAUAUGAUUUACAGAUUAAACGUAGGAGGUGAGAAAAUCACACCGGAUAAUGAUACCUUGGGACGAACUUGGUCGCCUGAUGAUGAAGACUUUCUCUACCGAAAAGAUUCUGCGAGGAACAUUAAUUCAACACAAACGCCUAACUACAAUACAGCAGGGUCACUGUCAGCCACGGAAUUCACUGCUCCUGCUUUCGUCUACAAGACAGCUAAAGCAAUGAACCGCAGCUCGAAUGAGCGGGUGGGGAUGUUGACGAAUGUUACAUGGUCGUUCAAGGUCAAAAGUAACUAUAGACACUUCAUCAGGAUUCAUUUCUCUGAUAUUUUAAGUAACUUCUCAAACUCCGACUCCGAUUUCUAUCUCUAUGUAAAUGGGUACUGGCGAGUAGAUGUAAAGCCUUCAGAGCAGCCUAAGUUGGCAACUCCGUUUUUUAUCGAUGUCGUGAAUGUCUCUGAUGGUUCUGGACUCUUGAAUAUUAGUAUAGGUACUAAGGAGGCCGAUAAAGAUGCUGGUUUUCUGAAUGGUCUGGAGAUGAUGGAGUUUUUGAUUAAAUCUGGUUCUGAUUCUUCAAAUAGAAGCAGUUCCCGGGUUCAUAUCAUCGCUGGUUGUGUUUCUGCUGCUGCAUCGGCUCUGGUCUUGAGUUUGUUGUUUAUGGUAUUCUUGAAGCGGAGGAGAUCGAAGAAGACUAAGCCAGACGUUGAAGGCACUGUAUGGUCUCCUUUGCCAUUGCACAGAGGUGGAAGUUCAGACAAUAGACCUAUCUCACAAUACCACAACUCGCCAUUACGCAACCUACACUUAGGCUUAACGAUUCCCUUCACAGACAUUCUGAGCGCUACAAACAAUUUCGACGAGGAGUUGUUGAUCGGGAAAGGCGGGUUCGGAGAUGUUUACAAAGCUAUUCUUCCUGAUGGAACCAAAGCCGCUAUCAAAAGAGGCAAAACCGGCUCAGGACAAGGCAUCUUAGAGUUUCAAACCGAGAUUCAAGUCCUCUCAAGAAUCCGGCACAAACACCUCGUCUCUCUAACGGGCUACUGCGAAGAAAACUCGGAAAUGAUCCUCGUCUACGAGUUUAUGGAGAAAGGUACACUUAAAGAACAUCUAUACGGCUCGAAUCUACCUCCCUUGUCAUGGAAACAAAGACUAGAGAUCUGCAUUGGAGCAGCUAGAGGUUUACAUUAUCUCCACAGUUGCGCAGAAGGAGUAAUCAUACACAGAGACGUCAAAUCCACAAACAUACUACUAGACGAGAACACUAUAGCCAAAGUCGCCGAUUUCGGACUCUCGAAACUCACGAUUCGUAAUCAAGAUCCAACUAAUAUCAGCCUAAACAUCAAAGGAACAUUCGGUUACUUAGAUCCAGAGUAUCUCCAAACACAUAUCUUAACAGAGAAAUCUGACGUUUACGCAUUCGGAGUCGUCCUCCUCGAGGUUUUGUUAGCGAGACCAGCUCUAGAUUGUACUCUACGUUACGAAGAAGCGAAUCUAGCGGAAUGGGCGUUGUUCUGCAAAUCAGAAGGUAAAAUCGAUGAGAUCUUAGAUCCGAGUUUGAUAGGUCAAAUUGAGACGAAUUCUUUGAAGAAAUUCAUGGAGAUUGCUGAGAAAUGUUUGAAAGAGUGUGGAGAUGAGAGACCGAGUAUGGGAGAUGUGAUUUGGGAUCUUGAGUAUGUUCUUCAGCUUCAGAUGAUGACGAUUCGUAGAGAAGCUCAUGAAGAAGAUAGUACGGCGAUUG
rnacentral:lncRNA from 1 species